GCUCCCUCUGUAGAUAAAAACAUUCUACGGUAACACAAAUAUUUUCAGGUGAUUAUAUACUGAAAACAUACCUAUAAAUAUUAUCUGACAAGAGAUUCUCCUCAGUGUUACACACUGCACCCUGUAAAAGGGAUAAUGAUGUUGUGUUCGUCAUCUUACGUCUGUCGUGCUCCGAUAAGCUCGUGAUGUUGGGAAGGCGUGCAGUGAUACCAAAUAAAAAUCCAUAAUUCCCCUCAAAUGCACUAAAACUGAAAUAAGGAGCCACUUUUUAAAAUUUAAGGAGCAAAAAGAUAUGCAGAUAUUUAUGUAAAAGUAGAAAGUUGUCAGGAAAAUACUUUAUUUCUACUUUAUAUUUUUCCUGCUGUAUCCUGAUAUUGGUGAUUAUGGUAAUAAUGGUGAUAUUGGUGAUAAUGGUGAGCCUCGCUGUCAACGACUGUUACUGAAUGUGUAUUUUAAAUCAGUUUAUAACAGCUGAACAGACUCAACAUGCAGACUGAGAAGGAUUAUACGUUUGUUAUUUCACAGAAAUAAACCUAAACCACACAAACAUCCGUCGGUCUGUCGCUCACAAACACUCAACGGUGAUUCUUUCCCUGUAUGUCCUCAGAGACACUGAGAGCUCUUUUCCUCCUGCAGAGAAAACCCAAAGUGAGGAAGCGCCUAUGAGGAGGAAAGCCAAGCUUCCACUGUGGUCGACCUACUUUCACCAGGAGCCAACCUCCAUCGAGGGGAAAAAUGGCAAAAAAAAUAAAAAAAAAUGAAUUUGAAAACAUCAUUAAAUAAUUGGGUUUUGGAAUUGAGGAAGGGGAGCCGGAUAGGAUUCAUGUUGGCUGCUCCUGGUUAAUAUCUGAUUUUGGACGAUAUGGGACACAAACAACAGGAAAUCUGAGACUUUUAGGGACACAUCUUUAUAGAGACCUGCUCCAUCAACAUCCUGAUCAACACUCGAGGGAUGGACCAUGUUCGGAGCCGAAAGAGCACCAAGCAUCAUCGAUGUAAACAUAAACGCAGUCAAAGGGGAUGGACACUGUUUGUUUUUAGAACAGAGGCAAUCUCCACUACCAGAACACCUAAAGGUUCUAGAUGGUUCAAGCAAACAGGCAGUCAAUGCAAAUAGUUUAAAAUUGGUGUAACGUGUUCUCUUUCUGGUCCUCGUCAACACUCGUGCAGCUGAGUUUUGUAAUUGAGCUCUAUGAGUAAGUAGAGCAUUACAGUAAUAAAUACUGCAGGUUAAUAAUAAAGGUGUGCAUUAGUGUCUCUUUAUAGGCUUCAAAGAUAAACGGUUUAGAGAUAAAUGUUAAGAUUAUAAAAUGCAUUUUUAGUGAUGUUUCUAAUGUGAAGUUCAAUAUCCGGAUCAAAGAUAACUUAAAGGUCCAAGGGUUCAGUUUUGUCCUGACUGAGUAUUAGAAAGCUCUCUGCCAUCCAUCGCUUGAUAAAAUACAGUUUAAAAGGACAUUUAUUGCCUCUGAGUCAUCAGGAGAUGCAGCAAUGUAAAGCUGUGUGUCAUCAGCAUAGAAAUGUAUGCUGUGCCUCCUGCAAUGUUAUUAUAGUUAAUUAAAAUGUUGUUUCACACCUAGUUUUAGUUUAGUUUUAGGGAUCUGAAAUAAAAAUAAAUUCUAGACCUUAUUAAAAAAACAAAAACUAAAAUAAAAUAAAAUCUAAAUAAAAGGUCUUUAGAUUUUGUCAAUUUGGUCAAAUUUGUCAACACAACACGCACAAGGAGGUGUUUAUUAACACUGGGAGGUCUACAUGACCGUAAGUCAAUGUAUUUGUGUUGCAAUUCCCAUUCUGUAUUUCUUCAGUCUUGCCCCUGUCAAAUACUCCUAGUAUUGUAAUAAAAACACCUCAAACUAAUACUGAAACUAAUAAAAACAAAACUAGAAUUAAACAGUUUUAAACAACCGAAAAGAGCAAACACACUCUAGUAACUAAACUGACAAAAAUUUUAAACAAAAUGUAAAUUAAAACCUAACUGUAAUAACUCUGGCCUCCGGAUGACGUUUCCAAGUGGCAGCAUGUAAAGGUUAAAAAGAGUGGGACCUAAAACUAAACCUUGAGGAACACCACAUCAAUUGAAAGCAGAGAAAAGGAUGUAGUGAUCUACUGUAUCAAAGUGAAGCAGGAUUAAUACAGACAGUUGUUUUAUUUCCAUAUUGGACGGACAAACGGACUCACCAUCCUCAGACGAAAAGGGGCUAAAAAUAGCUUCACUAAACACACCAACCCCCACUUACCCUGCUCCCUGAGAGGCCGGGGGGGUUGCUGGGUAGACUUGGUGGCUAUAUUUGCACACACAGUAGAAGUAUAAAGAUAAAACCACGCAAUCGUUCCCAACACCUGACAGUGUAAACCCACUCCUCUAACUGUGUGUGAACGGCUUUUUCUGGAUACAUGAAGUUAUAUUUAAAACAAACAUCUGAACCCCGACCCAGUGUAACCUAAGACCGCCUUUACCCUUUACACACACACAUACAAACACACAUUUGUACUUGUGAGAACCCUCACUGACAUUUAAAACAUUUCUUAGCGGCUAACCUGAAGCUAAUUAUGACCUUAACCACCUUAACCCCAGAACCAAGUAUCUACCAGUGAGGACGGGGCAAAUUCUUUAUGCUUUCGAGAAUUGGCGUCACCUUUUUUCAUUUGGCAGAGAUGUCACCACAAAAAAAUGUUCCUCACUUUUUCAAAAUUUCCAAAGCCACAAAUGUUCUCAUUUUGCAAAAACGUUUUCUCAAUUUAAAAAUGUUCCCACUUUCCCAAAAAAUGUUUCUCAUCAGUUCUCAAAAAUAUACUUUCCUAAAAUAUCCAGAUUUGCCAAAAAAGUCCCCACUUUACAAAAAGGCCAUAUUGGCAGAAAUUUUCAAGAACAUCCUCAAUCAGAGACAUCCUCACUUUUCAAACUAUUCUUUGUUCUUAAAAUAUUGUCCUCACUUUUUGGAAAAGGUCCUUGUUUGCCAAAAGUUAUUAGUUUAAUGUUCCCACUUCUGGAAAAGGUUCCCAAAAAUUACGUUACGGUUAUGUUUUUCUUAAAAAUCCAAAAGUCGAAAACUUUAAAAAAGAAACAAUUAAAGUACCAACUGUAAAAAAAUUCCUAAUUUUCCAAACAUCCUCAUUUGCCAGAGAUUUCCCAACUUUUCAAACAUGUUUUCACUUCCUCAUUUCUUAAAAAAAAGCAAAAAAAAUUCCCCACUUUUGAAAAUGCCCACAAAACUUUCAGUUGGUUUAUUCACCAAAAAUGUUCUCUCCAUUAAAAAUGUUCUCUCAAUUAAAAAUGUUUCCAGUAA